UCCUAUGGGGGCAGCAGUGAGGAAUAUUGGUCAAUGGACGAGAGUCUGAACCAGCCAAGUAGCGUGAAGGAUGACUGCCCUAUGGGUUGUAAACUUCUUUUAUAUGGGAAUAAGAUGUUUCACGUGUGGGAUUUUGUAUGUACCAUAUGAAUAAGGAUCGGCUAACUCCGUGCCAGCAGCCGCGGUAAUAUGGAGGAUCCGAGCGUUAUCCGGAUUUAUUGGGUUUAAAGGGAGCGUAGGUGGAUUGUUAAGUCAGUUGUGAAAGUUUGCGGCGCAACCGUAAAAUUGCAGUUGAAACUGGCAGG
rnacentral:rRNA from 1 species